AACGAACGCUGGCGGCAUGCCUAACACAUGCAAGUCGAACGAGACCUUCGGGUCUAGUGGCGCACGGGUGCGUAACGCGUGGGAACCUGCCCUUAGGUUCGGAAUAACUCCCCGAAAGGGGUGCUAAUACCGGAUAAUGUCUUCGGACCAAAGAUUUAUCGCCUUUGGAUGGGCCCGCGUUGGAUUUGCUAGUUGGUAGGGUAAAAGCCUACCAAGGCGACGAUCCAUAGCUGGUCUGAGAGGAUGAUCAGCCACACUGGGACUGAGACACGGCCCAGACUCCUACGGGAGGCAGCAGUGGGGAAUAAUGGACAAUGGGCGAAAGCCUGAUCCAGCAAUGCCGCGUGAGUGAUGAAGGCCUUAGGGUUGUAAAGCUCUUUUACCCGGGAUGAUAAUGACAGUACCGGGAGAAUAAGCUCCGGCUAACUCCGUG
rnacentral:rRNA from 1 species